CGAAAGCCUGACGGAGCAAGACCGCGUGAGGGAGGAAGGCUCUUGGGUUGUAAACCUCUUUUCUCAGGGAAGAAGCUCUGACGGUACCUGAGGAAUCAGCAUCGGCUAACUCCGUGCCAGCAGCCGCGGUAAUACGGAGGAGGCAAGCGUUAUCCGGAAUUAUUGGGCGUAAAGCGUCCGCAGGUGGCGAUUCAAGUCUGCUGUCAAAGCCAGGAGCUCAACUCCUGUCCGGCAGUGGAAACUGACCCACUCGAGGGUGGUAGGGGUAGAGGGAAUUCCCGGUGUAGCGGUGAAAUGCGUAGAUAUCGGGAAGAACACCAGUGGCGAAGGCGCUCUACUGGACGGCAACUGACACUCAGGGACGAAAGCUAGGGGAGCG
rnacentral:rRNA from 1 species